rnacentral:rRNA from 1 species
GAUGAACGCUGGCGGCGUGCCUAAUACAUGCAAGUCGAGCGAACGGACGAGAAGCUUGCUUCUCUGAUGUUAGCGGCGGACGGGUGAGUAACACGUGGAUAACCUACCUAUAAGACUGGGAUAACUUCGGGAAACCGGAGCUAAUACCGGAUAAUAUUUUGAACCGCAUGGUUCAAAAGUGAAAGACGGUCUUGCUGUAACUUAUAGAUGGAUCCGCGCUGCAUUAGCUAGUUGGUAAGGUAACGGCUUACCAAGGCAACGAUGCAUAGCCGACCUGAGAGGGUGAUCGGCCACACUGGAACUGAGACUCGGUCCAGACUCCUACGGGAGGCAGCAGUAGGGAAUCUUCCGCAAUGGGCGAAAGCCUGACGGAGCAACGCCGCGUGAGUGAUGAUGGUCUUCGGAUCGUAAAACUCUGUUAUUAGGGAAGAACAUAUGUGUAAGUAACUGUGCACAUCUUGACGGUACCUAAUCAGAAAGCCACGGCUAACUACGUG